rnacentral:rRNA from 1 species
AUCGAACGCUGGCGGCAGGCUUAACACAUGCAAGUCGAGCGGGGGAAGGUAGCUUGCUACCGGACCUAGCGGCGGACGGGUGAGUAAUGCUUAGGAAUCUGCCGAUUAGUGGGGGACAACAUCUCGAAAGGGAUGCUAAUACCGCAUACGUCCUACGGGAGAAAGCAGGGGAUCUUCGGACCUUGCGCUACUAGAUGAGCCUAAGUCGGGUUAGCUAGUUGGUGGGGUAAAGGCCUACCAAGGCGACGAUCUGUAGCGGGUCUGAGAGGAUGAUCCGCCACACUGGGACUGAGACACGGCCCAGACUCCUACGGGAGGCAGCAGUGGGGAAUAUUGGACAAUGGGGGGAACCCUGAUCCAGCCAUGCCGCGUGUGUGAAGAAGGCCUUAUGGUUGUAAAGCACUUUAAGCGAGGAGGAGGCUACUUUAGUUAAUACCUGGAGAUAGUGGACGUUACUCGCAGAAUAAGCACCGGCUAACUCUGUGCCAGCAGCCGCCGUAA